rnacentral:rRNA from 1 species
GACGAACGCUGGCGGCGUGCUUAACACAUGCAAGUCGAACGAUGAUGCUGGAGCUUGCUCCAGUUGAUUAGUGGCGAACGGGUGAGUAACACGUGAGCAAUCUGCCCUUGACUCUGGAAUAACUGCGGGAAACUGUAGCUAAUACCGGAUACUUUCACCGGAAGGCAUCUUCUGGUGAUGAAAGAAUUUCGGUCAGGGAUGAGCUCGCGGCCUAUCAGCUUGUUGGUGGGGUAACGGCUCACCAAGGCGACGACGGGUAACCGGCCUGAGAGGGUGACCGGUCACACUGGGACUGAAACACGGCCCAGACUCCUACGGGAGGCAGCAGUGGGGAAUAUUGCACAAUGGGCGCAAGCCUGAUGCAGCAACGCCGCGUGAGGGAUGAAGGCCUUCGGGUUGUAAACCUCUUUUAGCAGGGAAGAAGCGAAAGUGACGGUACCUGCAGAAAAAGCACCGGCUAACUACGUGCCAGCCGCCGCGGUAA